AUUUCUCAUUUCAUCAAACUCAAUGAAGCCUACAUAAACACGACUAUUAAUAUAUAUGUUUGAUAUAAAUUGCACGUGCAAAUUAAUAAGAAAAUUAACAUCUUGGGAUCUUCAGGCUUUCAAUGAAUAUCAUCAUUAUACUGAGUUGAACAAUGAUUUGCAUUCAGAUUCAUAGUAAUAUUCAUUAUGAUAUGCAUUCAAAUAAUUUUGAAUGCAUAAUUAGUUUGCAGAGCACUGAUUCUAAAUGAAAGGACAAUUAAUUUUAGCUUAUCUUUGCCACAUCCCAUUUAAAAGAUUUUUACUGAUGCUCCUAUAACCAUGAUACCACAUAAUUUAUAAAUAAAACCCCUGAUCCGCAAACGAUCAUCUGUCCUUUCUAUUAAGAUUAUUAAAGAAACACUACCAUUAAAAUUACAAAAAAAGAAAAAAAAAAUGGGUAGAGGACGGAGUUCCCUUCGUGGCUCAGUACCAACUCAAUACCGUAGCCUAAUGAACCCUACUAGGAUCCAUGAGGAUGUGGGCUUGAUCCCUGGCCUCACUCAAUGGGUUAAGGAUCUGGGGAUCCGGCACUGCCAUGACCUGUGAUGUAGGUCGUAGACACCACUUGGAUCCAGCGUUGUUGUGGCUGUGGCGUAGGCCGGCAGAUGUAGCUCCUAUUCGACCCCUAACCUGUAGUGUGGGAGAGAUUUUUCUGAUCCAUUUAUUAUUUGCUUUUGUAAUUUUCAGUUUAAAAUAAUUUCAGAUUUACAGAAAAGUUGCAAGAAUAGUAUAAAAAACUCCUGUCUAUCUUUCACCCAGAUCCCCAGCUGUUAACAUUUUGCCAUAUGUGCUUCACCUCUCUCUCUGUAGAGAGAUAGAGAGAUAAAGAUAUACAUACACAUAUAUAUGAUAUAGAUGCACAUAUAUACAAAUUACUCUUUUCUGAACCAUGUAGUCAUAAGGUGCAGUCAUGAUAUCCCCUUACCCCUUAUAUAACUAGUAUAAUUUCCAAAAUUAGAAUAUUAACAGCCUAUUAUUCAAUACUAUUAUCAAACUUUCAGACCUUAUUUAAAUUUUACCAGUUGUCCCAAUUACCUCUUGUAAAGCAGAAAAAAAUCAUCUCUACCCUCAUUUAAGAAAAUAAAGUCUUAGUAAUCUUUAUCAAAAACUAAUGUAUGAAUUAAUGUAAAAUGGGAUUCAACCAGGUAUCAUUGCCAGGCCAUAUGUGUGACUGAAAGAUUAAGUAAUGUAGUUAUUUCUUCAAUAAAAAUCACCAAACAUGAUCAUGAUGAGCCCCUUCCUUUGUUAACAUGUUGUGGUUGUAAUGAAUGAAUGAAAAAGUGAUUAAAGGUUCAUGUUACUACUUUAUUUUUACACAUUAAAAAUUUAUCUUUCCCUCUAGUGACAAAAUAUUUUUCAAAAAUCUAGUAUGAACCCCUAGUCGGUUGAAGAGACGUGAGAAUGAAGUAAGUAUAUGAACAGGGGGCCACUAGAAAUGGCAUCACAAGUGUGUAGGUUGGCCUUGAUCCCUGCUGUGAAAUGAGCUUCCUACCAGUGGUAUUAUUUUACUUACAACAUCCAAUCUACUGUCAAGAAGAGGGAUGGAGAAGGACAUAGUCCCUGUGUCAGAAGACAUCACCCUAGACUAGUGAAGUUCCUUUUAGCACGGGCAACAUGGAUCGAUUUGCGUUACGGGAGUAUGAUAUGUGAGGUCAAUUUUUGCUUUUAUUGGACUCCUUGUGAUAUGAAGAGGGGAGUCUAAUCACUGACUUUGGCAUAGCAAUGAUCAGAUCACUUCUGGAAAGAAUCUGCAAAAUUUAUUCAGCAGCCUUUAUUCUGAAUGAAUUCCACUAGGCAUUUCUCCCCACCUCCCAAAAAAUAUUUCAACUACAACAAAGCCUUAGACACAGAAGUGUUCAUAACAUCAGUACUAAGAAGAAUUAAAACAAAAACAAAAAUAGGGGCUCUCCCUGAUUAUACAUACCUCCCCAGGCAGUGAGCGGGCCUUGCAGGCUUGGCCCAAGCUGGAGUCCCUGGUCCCAUGAACACUGAUUAGACCAAGGUGUCCUCCCCAACUGGCCCAUUUCUUGUUUUGAAUGGGCCCAUUCUCCAGUUCCCGAUUUUGUGAAACAUAAUGAGAGCAAGCGGAUCACAAACAAGCAAGUAGGGUCCAGAAUGCUUGCCGAACCACAAUGCAAAGUUUGUCUGGGCCACCCUUAAGCAGCUACUGAGUGCUUGGUGGGUGAAAUUCUUGAGCUUGUUUAAAGAUCCAGAAACUUGAUUGACAGUGUUAGUAUUAUAAGUGACUUUUUCCCUGUUUUUCCAUAUGCUCCCAUUUUCAAAGAAGAACAAUUAUUAAUUUUAUAAUAAUUUUUAAAAGGUGUAUGAAAAUGAAUCCUUUGCUAAAUGUUUUAUAUGGCACAUAGAAUGAUAUGAAUUGUAAAAAAAUUAUUUAUUGAGUUAUGCAGCUGGAGCUAUGAAAAGUACUUUCACCAGUGCUUACAUGGACAUUUAAUAAUCUCAUCUGGUGCCAUGUUCUACUUCUGUAUUUUGAUUAUGACUAUCUCAGCUCACAUGCAGUUUGUUCAAGCCAAACAUCUAGAGUCAUUGGUUGCCAGACUUCUCCAAAUUCCACAAUUAAAUCAGUUACAACAGCUGCCAAUGCUACAAUUUUUUUCCUAAUUUCUCCUCUCUAUUUCAUCACUGCUUUGCAUCCCUCAUUAUCUUUUUUGUUUGUUUGUUUUUGGUGAUUUGUCUUUUUUAGGUCUGCACCCACAGAAUUUGGGGGUUCCCAGGCUAGGGGUCCAAUCAGAGCUGUAGCCGCUGGCCUACACCACCACCACAGCAACAUGGGAUCCGAGCCUCGUCUGCAACCUACACCACAGCUUACGGCAAUGCCAUACCCUUAACCCACUGAGCAGGCCCAGGGAUCAAACCCACAUCCUCAUGGAUGCUAGCCAGGUUCACUAACCACUGAGCCACGACAGGAACUCUGCAUCCCUCAUUAUCUUUUGACUAGACUCUCUGAGUCAGUUGGUUCCAGACUACGCUGGGUAAGAAACCAAGUCUGAAAUCUGAGUGGCAUACCAGAUUACAGAUUCAUUUCGCUCACAUAGGAAGUCCAUUGGGAGAGAGUUGAUUCUCUGUUGCAGCCAUCCUUUGUAUCAGGACAGCAAUUCAAGCUGCUUCCAACCUGAAGGAACAGUGCCCCAACAGUGGUACCCAGAGGGGAAGAAAAGAAAAACAUAGAAUGGAGCCACGAAAUGAUUUAGAGUUGGCCAGAACUAGGUACAGUCAAAGAUCCUAACCUAAGUAAAAGGGAAGCCAGGAAACGAGGGGCGUACAUGGACAUUUAAUGAGCAUCAUGUCUUUCUACCAGACUCAGUGCCUCGUAUCUCCAGUCGCCCUCCACACUGGAUGUAUUCUACCUGAAAUGACAACUGAUCAACUUGGUCUUUUUUGUUUCCAAAGAACUCUCAAAUGACUGUGUAGCAUCUAGAGUAGAAUUUUUCAAACCAUUAUUUCAAAGAAGUGAAUUUUCAAACGGUUGAAUUGAAUAUACACAUUCACAUAUUCAUAAAUGAAAAUGUUUUAAACUGUCAUAAGAAUGCAUAAUCAAAUACUUUAUAAAUGAUUUCUUGUAUCAAAGUUUAUAUUUGAUGAAAAUAUGCAUUGUUAUUAUAUUAAUGUAAUAUUAAUUACAUUAAUUACAUUAAUGUUAUUACAUUAAUAUUGACGUAAUAUUAAUUAAUGUAUAUAUUAAAGAAUUAUGUCAUUUUUGUAUUACAUAAAGGUUGAAACUGAAAAUAUACUAAUAACGGAGUUCCCAUUGUGGUUCAGUCGGUAGGUUAAGAGCCCACCAUAGUGCUCCUCAGGAUGUGGGUUUGAUCCCUGGCCUUGCUUAGUAGGGGGAGGAUAUGGCAUUGCCGCAAGCUGCGGCAUAAGUCACACAUGCAGGUUGAAUCCCAUGUUGCUGUGGCUGUGGCAUAGUCGUGCCCCUGAAGCUCCAAUUUGACCCCUAGCCUGGGAACUUCCAUAUGCCAUAGGUGCUGCUGUAAAAGGAAAAAAUAUAUAUAAUUUUACUUCUACUUGUUUAUGUAAUUGGUAUUCUAGGUUGGAUUAUAUCAUGUGGUAAAAAGGGAGCCGUACAGUUAAAAACAGCUGGGAAGCACGGACCAGUACACUGAGCUAUAAUCAUGUCAGAAACAUCUACACAAGCUUCAGUGGCUUGGCUUCUUGCCAUUUUCAACUUCCCACAUUAUCCUCCAAUAGUUCUGAAUGCAGGCAGUUUCUAGAGCAUCACGCUGUUUCCUUUUCCUGGAACAAUACCCUCCCUUCCCAUCCCACUUCAUCCCCCAAAUCCAUGCCAAUAUUUUGAGACACUAAUAAGAUACCAUUGUUUGGGAUUCUUCUGUGUUUGUAUAACUCCUUGUACACAUGCAUUCAGAAUUUGCACUUAUAAAUUCCCCCCACACACUUACUUCCUUUCUGUAAGUUUCUUGGGGUUAUCCUUGUUCCUUAAAUUAUAGCCCAGAGCAGGCCCAUAGUAGUCUCUCGAUAUACAUUUUUAAGAUGCUGAAAUGCACACUGACUAAGUCAUUUAAUAAAUUUUACUGAACACAUUAUAUUCCAGCUGAAAUUUACUCACAGCUAAUAAGAUUUCCAGAGUGGUUCUCCCAUUAGUAGAUACAGAAAAAUAGACAACAGGUACUCAGAAUAAGUUUAGCAUAGAAAUUACAGAGAAAUAUGCAUCAAGUGCUGGAUUUUCUUUUUGCAAGUCAAUACCAUCUCUGAUCUAAAGACUCCAGAAAACCGUAAGUGAUUUUUUUCCUCAGAAUUCUUUGCCAGCAGGGUCCCUCAAAUGAGGGUUAUAUUUCCUGAUCAAAAGUAUUUGGUAUUUGAAAGGAUUCCAGGAAGAAGAGCAUUAAUUGGAAUCACCUGGGAUUGUUUAUCUAACCCGGUUAGAUCUGAAGGCAAUAAUGACUUCAUUGGCAGCAGAAACGUGAGCAUUGAUCGUCCCUGGCACACAAGUGGCAAAGCAUUUGCUUAAAUUAUCAACUUCAGUUUCCAGGAAGGAACUGCCUACUAAACCUCCUCUGACAGCAGAAGCUGGCACUUUCCCUAUAUGAUUAGGCUACACCAUGCCCAUAAUUGAAAACUCCCUAAUGACUCCACUUGAUUAACAAGAACAGGGUGGGCUAUGAAGCAGUAGCAACAACCACAAAACCUCGGUGACUUAACAUAACAAGAGUGUAUUUCUCUUCUGUGCUACAUGCUCAGUGAAGAUAGUCGGGGACUUUGUUCCAUGCAGAUGCUCGUGGACCCAGAUUGGCUUAAGAUCAUCCAUCUUGCAGGCGAACUGAUGGAGGACAUGUAGCUGUUGCUGAGGAAGAAAGAAAGGGAGCGUCCCAAACCAGUUCUCAAAUCCCUCAGCCUAAAAGUGACACAUAUUAUUUCUGUUCACAGCAUGUUUACACGAACUAGACACAUGGCCCCCUGAAACUGCAAGAAGUAUGAAAAAUGUGAGGCGAUGGGGCUAUUUAGUGUGAAGAAAAUAUCUCGUCCCCAUCACCAGAGGCAGUUACCUUGCAAAGGGUGCUGAUAUUUUUCAAGACCUGCCUUUGGCAGGCUGCAUGCCUCUGGACCCCAUAACUAGAGUCAGAUACCAGCAAAUCUAAGACCUUGAGUGCAAGUCUAAACCAAGAGGAGAUCAGUUACAAGCUGAAAUAAUUAAAAGCUUCUGCCAGGCUUUAUCAAGAGACAUCUGAGGAGUAUGGUAGGAAUGAACUCCAAAGCUUCCAGAUGAGGCAAGAACAGAUAACAUUGUAUCAAGUCAGAUUUUUGAAAUACCUAUAUUUACUCAAAACUGUGAAUUCAGUGUUAAACAGCCAGAUGUUUUUAACAGCGCACUCUGUUUUCUUUGUCUGAAAUCUGGACUCAACCACAAUUUCCUUCAGUAGCAUAGAGCAAUAUUAUUUAGCUGGGAAAAAUUAUGCCCCCCUCCUUUUCCAUUGGAAAAUUGUCAGUGUCUGGAGACAUUUCUUCAUUGUCAUCACUUGGAGGGAGGAACGUCUGGACUCUAGUGAGUAGAGACCGGGGAUGAUGUUAAACAUCCCACGUGGCACGUGACAGCCCCUCACAACAAAGAAUUAUUAUUUGGUCCAAAAUACCAGUAGUGCCAAGUUGAGAAACGCUGGUAUAGGGAAGUUGGGAAGAUCAGAGGAUGAUAAGCUUAGAGUAGAUUUAUCACGCAGAACCAGUCAUCUACUUCCAAACCCCAUCACCUUGGUUGGCUUAAAGGACACUUCCUUCUCCAAGGCAUUAACACAUUGCUGGGAGCACUGGUGUAUUUGUAAAACUUUGUGCUGACUUUCUUCUAUCUCCCAGUGGUAGCAGAGGGAGAGACUGCCUCCGAAAGGAGUUCCCUAAUAUGACUGUGGAUGAUGGGAUUUUGCAGCACCGGGGCCCUCGGGCAUCUGUAGGCAUUUCUAACAGUGACUACACCCGAUCCUGUCUCUAGGACUGAAAUUGAUGAUUUAUUGUCAUUUGAAGAGGCAAAGAGAAUGCAACCCCAAAUGUAGCAAUGAUGUAAGUGCAUCAGGAAGUUAUUUAAUAAAAAAAUAAUGUUAUUUUUCAGGACUUGGUGAGAAUUUGGGAUUUUGUUACGCAUUUUAUUUAUUUAUUUGUUUGUUUGUUUGUUUGUCUUUUUAGGGCCACACCCACAGCAUGUGGAGGUUCCAGGCUGGGGGUUUAAUUGGAGGCAUAGCUGCUGCCCUAGGCCACAGCCACAGCAACUCGGGAUCCGCUUCUGCAACCUACACCACGGCUCACAGCAACCCUGGACCCUUAACCCACUGAGCAAGGCUAGAGAUCGCAACCUCAUGGGUCCUAGUCGGAUUUGGUUCUGCUGUGCCACAGCAGGAACUCCCCGUUAUGGAGUUCCUGCUGUGGCGCAGUGGGUUAAGUCUCCGGCAUUGCCACAGUUGUGGCCUAGGGUACAGCUGUGGCUCUGAUUAUGAUCCUUGACCCAGAAACUUUCAUACGCUGCAGGUGCAGCUAAAUAAAUAAAUAAAUAAAAUUCAUAACCUGUGAUUUCUCAUUCUAAAUAAAUAUUUAUUUUCAUACCUAAAAGAAGAAAAAAAGAGGAGUUCCCAUCGUGGUGCAGCGGAAACAUAGGAACCUUGAGGUUUCAGGUUCGAUCCCUGGCCUUGCUCAGUGGGUUAAGGAUCCAGCAUUAUCGUGAGCUGUGGUGUAGGUCACAGACGCAGCUCGGAUUUCACAUUGCUGUGGCUCUGGCGUAGGCCAGUGCCUGUAGCUCCAAUUAGACCCCCAACCUGGGAACCUCCCUAUACUGCCGGUGCAGACCUAAAAAGACAAAAGACAAAAAAAAAAAAAAAAAAAAAAAAAAAAAAA
rnacentral:lncRNA from 1 species